CUAGUAAUGGCAGGUCAGCAUACUGCCGUGAAUACGUUCCCGGGCCUUGUACACACCGCCCGUCACACCAUGAGAGUUGGGAAUACCCGAAGCCUGUGAGCUAACUUAUAGAGGCAGCAGUCGAAGGUAGAAUCAAUGAUUGGGGUGAAGUCGUAACAAGGUACC
rnacentral:rRNA from 1 species